CGCGGCGGCCCCCAAGCCCGCGACAGCCAUCACUCGCGGACCAACCCUCUCCUCGGUUCCGCUCUCCCUGGCGACGGCGCCGAUGGUGCGACGGUGGCGGGCUGAACUGGAGCGCGAUCGGUGGCUCGUGGUGAGUUGUAGUGAGGACGAUGGCGGCGUGGGUGAAGCCCCCUCUUUUUCCCUCAGCUCUCUCAGAAGUUCUCCUCCCCUGUUUUGUGU
rnacentral:lncRNA from 1 species